rnacentral:lncRNA from 1 species
GACUGACUGCUAAGGAAGCUCUCAGGAGUCCAGGCCCAGAGCAAAGGAAGGAAAGAUGGGCUCGCCCAAGUCAGCCUUUUAAAUAAUUGAGUUGAUGGCAGCCACACUAAGUAAGCUCAAAUCAACGGUGGAGCAGACACGGCGAUCCUCGAGGAACUUGGUAGACUCAUGAAGCUUCCCUCAGACACGGCAGCAGGAGCGAGUGAGCAGUCGUGUGUCCCGGGAGAAGUGACAGGGCAAUGUCCGCCCUGCAGGUUGGAACUCUAUUCCAGGCACGGCCACUGACUGGGCAGGAAGCUGGACUUAGUGUGGUUUUGAGUCAAGGUGACUCCCUGUGCAUGGUUUCAGAUCUGCAAUCGUCCUGCCUCAGCCUAUCAAGUGCUGGGAUUGCUGUGUAUGUCACCAUGCCUGGCAGCCCCUCAGGUCUCCCUGGUCACUCGUGUGAGGCUGGCCCUUGGAGGAGGCUGAAUAAAGGUCACCAUUUAUUACCUUGGGAAUCAGGGCAUCUUCAAAUUCUGAUUCAUAAACUUCUCAGGAAGAGGCCAAAAGACGAUAUGUCCAAUCAGUGACAGAUGGAGAAGAGCCAGUAUGUCUAUGUCCCUUCAGGAGGCUCUCCAAAAUUCUGGCCCUGUUUUGUUUUGUUUUGUUUUGUUUUGUUUUGUUUUGUUUUGUUUUGUUUUUUGAGACAGGGUUUCUCUGUGUAGUCCUGGCUGUCCUGGAACUCACUCUGUAGACCAGGCUGGCCUCGAAUUCAGAAAUCCACCUGCCUCUGCCUCCCGAGUGCUGGGAUUAAAGGCAUGGGCCACCACUGCCCGGCAUGGCCCUUUUUAAACUUUUCAUCUUGAAACAAGAUUUUACUACGUGGAGGUUUGAAUAAGAACGUCUCCUUGCAGGCUUCUAUAUUUGAAUACUAUACAUUCACUAGGGAAUGGUACUCUUUGGCAGGGUUACAACAACUAGGAGGUGUGACCUCUUGUCACUGUGGGGAGGACACUGAAGUUUCAAAAUACCACGCUGGCUGGGUCUCUCUCUUUGCUUAUGGCUCAGGAUGUGGCUCGCACCUACUUCCCCAGCACCGUGCCUGCCAGCCGCCAUGCUCCCUGCCCCCCAACUCCCCAGCUGGAUGAUAGCUGACUAAGCCAGCCCCCAGCGAGAUGCUUUCCUUUAUAAGAGCUGCCUUGGUCAUGGUGUCACCUCACAGCAAUAGAAGGAUGACUACCACAAGGGGUUACCCCGGUCGGCCUUGAACUUGAGAUCCUCCUGCCUCAGUUUCCCAAAGAGUUGCAUUACAAACUUUUGCAACCCAGCCCAGCUUUAUACUGAUCAGAAGUCCUGUACCAUCUUUAGGCACAGAUGCCAGAGACCAGACAGGCGAGACUAGUGCCCAUCACCUAGUCCCUCAAAAACGAAACAUAUAGGUGCAUAAUAAAUAUACAUUUUAGUGGGGCUUCUUUAAAAACAAACAUAUAUAGGUACAUAGUGAAUAUACAUUUCAGCUAAGCUCCUUUUGUGUGAGGGGGUGUCUCAAGUAGUCCAAGCUGUCUACAUAGCCAUAGGUGACCUUCGACUUCUGGUCCUCCUGCCUCAGCCUCCCAAGUGAUGAAGUUAGAGGUAUCCAUCAUCACGUCUGGUUUUGUGCAGUGCUGGAAAUCACAACCCCAGCCUUGUGUGUGCACGCUAAGCAAGCAGCCUAUCAACCAGGCCGCACCUCCAGUCCCACGAAGCUUAAGAACAAGAAUGCCCGUGUCACGUGAUCCAAGGAGCAGAACAGCAGGGCCAACAGCAUUUCUAGAGAGAAUUCCCCAACAAGGUCUCAGUCAGGACCGGAUGCCGCCAGGGCUGAAGAACUCCGACAUCCCGGUGUUUCUAAGACAACCAUGUGGCUAUCAAGCAGUUUCCCACGGUCUCGGUAAGAAUGCCAGGACAGAGUGGCAUAGGAAGGGAGAGAGGCCUGAAGAGCGGGGAGCAGUGUGUGGCACUUAGCAAACCACAAGCACGCUGGAAAGUCAGAAAAACAAACCCUCAUUUCAUGGCUGAGGGAGGCAAAGGCACUCCGGUACCACAUAACCAUAUUUGCUCAGUCCCCAGAGGCAGCUCGCCUGCUUCCACCCCAGCUGAGAUGAGGCACAGAGGGCUGGGCCCGGUUCCUCCUGGACAUGAUCUGCCCAUCCUUGAGCUCUGCUGUCUCUGUGUGGCAGUCACUGCCUGGUCCCUGGGGCUCUGGAGAGUCUGUUUGUGAAUCAACACUAAUAACAUUAAAGCCUCUAUAACAUCCAUCAGUGGAUCCCACAGCUGUCCCCACCUCCCAAAUCACGGCUGCUAGCCCCAGGACAGUGGCAUGACUUCACACUGGGCUGGCAGAUCUACUAAGAUGCUUGCUUCCAUGGGAAAAAAAGGAAACAGGUUCUGGAGGGUUUUUUAUGUGCCUUUUUUAAGUGGGUGAAGAUGACAGGCCUCUUAAGUAAUUCGACAGAAUGCAAUCUCUAAAGGCCUGAGCUGGGCUGGGGCUCAGUUGGUCGAACACGUGGUAAGCAUGCAGGAGGCCCUGGCUUCACUGCCCAACACCAGGUAGGCAGAGAAGGGCACACCCGUAAUCAUAGUGGUUAGCGGCCAGAAGUUCAGUCAUUUUUAGCAGCACGGGGAAUUUGAGGACAUCAGAGCUACAUGGAACCCUAUCUCAAAAAACAAAAGAAAGAAAGAAAGAAAGAAAGAAAGAAAGGAAGGAAGGAAGGAAGGAAGGAAGGAAGGAAG